GCAGGCAUUCCUAGGUUGAGGUUACCAUAGGAUUGACCCUCAGUCAGGCCUCCGAUUCCAAGGAGUUGAUUCAGCAAGUUCCCCGCGCUACCCCGCGGGAAGUCUAAUCGGAUCAAUCGGUGGUUCCGUAAUGAGUAGUCGAAUACACAUUGAGGGGGCCUUGCCUCCUCCUUCCCGCCCACACCUUCAUUCUUUUCCUCCUCUGAUCUUAGAAAGCAAAUCUGAAGAAUUUGCGUAGAAAUCAUAAGCAAAAAGAAUCAACUCAAAAGCUCUUACAGAACAAAAACGAAAAUUAUUUUCGUGAGCACAAAGUUUCUGUCUUUUCCAGCAUGACCAAACGAUCAUCCCCAAGACUAAUCAUAACGGUUUUGCUUGGCACAAACGCAAAAAUAAACACAAAAAACACAAUCAUAACAGAAUUAUGAAAGUGUGGAAAACACAAAACAGAAAGAAAAAGGAUAGAUUCGUUGGGUUGCCUCCCAACAAGCGCUAUUGUUUAACGCCCUUAGCUAGGCCAAAGGUGAUGGAAUCACGUAUAGUCAUCCUUGGUGCUCAAACCAUAAGUAGCCCUCAUCAUAGAUUCAUAAGGCAAUCUUAUUUUCUUUCUAGGAAAAUUCUCCAUGCCCUUCUUUAGGGAAAAUUGAAAUCUAAUAUUCCCUUCCUUCAUAUCGAUGAUAGCACCAAUAGUCCUUAGGAAAGGUCUACCAAGAAUAAUAGGACAUGAAGGAUUGCAACCUAUGUCAAGUACAAUGAAAUCCACGGGUACAUAGUUCUUAUUUGCAACAAUAAGAACAUCAACGAUCCUUCCCAUGGGUUUCUUGACAGUAGAAUCCACAAGAUGCAAAUUAAGAGAACACUCUUCAAUCUCAUGAAAACCAAGAAUAUCACAUAAAGACUUUGGAAUCGCGGAAACACUAGCACCCAAAUCACACAAAGCAUUGCAUUCAUAGUUUUUUAUCUUGAUUUUGAUAGUAGGUUCCCACUCAUCAUGAAGUUUUCUAGGUAUAGAGACUUCUAAUUCGAGCUUCUCUUCAAGAGAUUUCAUCAUAACAUCUACGAUAUGUGCGGUAAAGCCUUUGCUUUGGCUAUAAGCAUGCGGAGAGUUUGCAAUGGAUUGCAUCAAAGAGAUGCAUUCAAACAAGGAGCAACUGUAAUAAUUGAAUUCCUUGAAAUCCAAAGUGGGAGUUUCAUUACUACCCAAAUUUUUGAUUUCUUCUACUCCACUCUCCACACCUUUAUCAUCAAGAUAGGUGGACUCCGAAUCAUUGGGGCGUUUUUUAACCAAAGUGGAUUCAUACCUAGCCCAUUCAUCAAUAGGUUUGACACGCGAAAACAAAGAUUCAAGAGGAGUCACACCAAGCACUUUAAGAUCUUCGUGUUUUGCAUCACUAGAACGCACCCUUUUAAACCAUUCAUGCCUAGCGCGAAUUUGGGCGGUUCUUUCUUUGCCCUCAUUCAUGGAGACACGCAUAGCUUUUAAAGUUUCAUCCAAGUUGACCUUGGGAGGAGCACAUCUAACUUUCAAAGCAUCAAUAUCACAAGACAUCCUAUCAACGCUCAUAGCCAAAUCGUCUAUUUUGAGUAGUUUUUCCUCUAUGGACGCAUUGAAAAUCUUUUGAGAGUUGAUGAACUCUUUGAUAUUACUCUCUAAAUCAGAGGGUAAUUUUUUAUGAUUUACAUAAGUGUUGUUGUAGGAAUUGCCAUAAUUGUUAGAGGAGUUACUAGGAAAAGGCCUAGGAACAUAGUUUCCUCUAAAAGCAUUGUUGUUGCCAAAAUUAUUCCUACCAACAAAAUUAACGUCCAAACUAGCGUUACUACUCUCAAUCAAGGAAGAUAGUGGCAUGUCAUUAGGAUCUAAAGGAGCAUUUCUACUAGCAACCAAAUUCAUCAACUCGUCCAUCUUAGCACUAAGCGAGUUAAUUUCUUCUAUAGCGUGUACCUUUUUGCUAGCACGUGACCUUUCAGUGUGCCACUGAGAGUAGUUGGUCAUGAUAUUGUCUAGGAGUUUUGUAGCGUCUCCUAACGUGAUUUCCAUGAAUGUUCCACCUGAGGUGGAGUACAAGAUAUUGCGAGAAGCGAAAUUCAAACCAACAUAAAAGAUUUGUAUAAUCAUCCACAAACUCAAGCCAUGAGCGGGACAAUUUCUAAUCAUUAACUUCAUCCUCUCCCAAGAUUGUGCAACGUGUUCAUGAUCAAGUUGCUUGAAAUUCAUGAUAUUGUUAUGUAAGGAUAUAAUCUUAGCCAAUGGAAAAUACUUGGAUAUGUAAGCAUCUUUGCACUUAUCCCAAGAAUCGAUACUAUUUUUAGGAAAAGAAGAAAACCAAGUUUUUGCGCGAUCUCGCAACGAGAAAGGAAAAAGCUUCAACUUAAUCACGUCAUUGUCCACAUAUCUUUUCUUUUGCAUAUCGCAAAGCUCAAUGAAGGUAUUAAGAUGGGAUGCGGCAUCUUCACUAGGAAGGCCAGAGAAUUUCUCUUUCAUAACAAGAUUCAGCAAAGCUGUGUUGAUUUCAUACGAUUCCGCACUAGUGGCGGGAGCAAUCGGAGUACUAAUAAAAUCAUUAUUAUUGGUACUCGAGAAGUCGGAAAGUUUGGUGUUUUCAGCCAUGAUGACUUCAACAAACCAACAAGAACACAAGCAAGCAAGAAAACUAGCAAAGGAAAAAGGCAAAGGGCAAAAGAAAACGGCAAAGGAAAAAGGCAAAAAGGCAAAUGAAAACGGCAAAGGAGAAAGGCAAAUGAAAACGGCAAAUGUGAAGUGGGGGGAGGAAAACGAGAGGCAACUGGCAAAAAGGUAAAUGCAAGAUAUGAGUUUGUGACACCUACUUGGUUAGAUCUCCUCCCUGGCAACGGCGCCAGAAAACCUUCUGCUACUGCGACAACAGACCUUCCCCGGCAACGGCGCCAGAAAUCCUUCUGCUACUGCGACAACAGACCUUCCCUGGUAACGGCGCGAGGAAUCCUGCUGCUGCGGCUAUGCCUAUAGGGACUUCCUUGGCAAAUAUGCAAAGGAUUUCCCUGCGGCCUUGGAGCCUUGCGUUGGUGUUCCCUUGAAGAGGAAAGGGUGAUGUAGCACAGCGGCGGUAACUAUUUCCCUCAGUUUUGAGAACCAAGGUAUCAAUCCAGUAGGAGGAGCGUUCACAAGUACCUGCACAAACACAAAG
rnacentral:lncRNA from 1 species